UACGGGGGGGGCAAGCGUUGUUCGGAAUUACUGGGCGUAAAGGGCUCGUAGGCGGCCAACUAAGUCAGACGUGAAAUCCCUCGGCUUAACCGGGGAACUGCAUCUGAUACUGGAUGGCUUGAGUUCGGGAGAGGGAUGCGGAAUUCCAGGUGUAGCGGUGAAAUGCGUAGAUAUGUGGAGGAACACCGAUGGCGAAGGCAGCCCCCUGGGAUGUGACUGACGCUCAUGUACGAAAGCGUGGGGAGCAAACAGG
rnacentral:rRNA from 1 species